CUUCCCAAUUAUCUCCACAAUUCUCUAUCCACUGUUUCUCAUUCCUAUUCUCUCUCUCUUUCUCUUUUUUUUUUCCUACCACUGUUCUCUCUAUUUCACUCUCCCCACCUUUUCUCAUUAUCAUUCUCUCUCUCAUUCUCUCUUUUUUUUUCCUACCACCGUUCGAAGACGAUGCCUUGGUGCUGUUGUUCUCCAAAUGCCAGACAAAAAUGAGGGAAAUGCCGGACGAAAAACUCAAAGGUUAUGCUUCGUUUUCCCUCUCUAUGUGCUUUUUUUCGAUUUUUUUCACAGCAUGUUCAUUGUUUCUUCUAAAGCUACCUUUUUUUUUCCUACCAUCGUUCAAAGACGAUGGCUUGGUGCCGUUGUUCUCCAAAUGCCGGACGGAAAUGACGGAGAUACCGAACGAAAAACUCAAAGGUUAUGCUUCGUUUUCCCUCUCUAUGUGCUUUUUUUUUCGAUUUUUUUCACAGCAUGUUCAUUGUUUCUUCUAAAGCUAUCAUUUUUAUCUCAAAAAGCUUCGAUUUUUAUCUCCAAACUCCAUGAAUGUGCUUCGUUUUCCCUCUCCAUGUGCUUUUUUUUCGACUUUUUUCACAACAUGUUCAUUGUUUCAUCUAAAGCUAUCAUUUUUAUCUCAAAAAGCUUCAAUUUUUCUUUUCAAACUCCAUGAAUGUGCUUCGGUUUCCCUCUCCAUGUGCUUUUUUUUUCACAACAUGUUCAUUGUUUCUAAAGCUACCUUUUUUUUUCCUACCAUCGUUCGAAGACUAUGCCUUGGUGCUGUUGUUCUCCAAAUGCCGAACGGAAAUGACGGAGAUGCCGAACGAAAAACUCAAAGAUUUGUGUCAAUGUAACCAUUUUUGGUUUUUUUCGAAAGCAACAUUAACUAUGUCCUAAUAUAUUCCUUGGAAUAGUUAGUCACGCACGGGGGAGUAGCCACGAUGUCAUCAGGAUGAUAUUACCGGUUUGCAAUUUUCGCAUGCAUUCUAUUUUUUAUUUUGUUGUUUGGUUAGGGGUUAUUUUGAACCAAUUUGCUUAACUUCAAUCCUUUUUUUGUGUGACAUCAGUGAGAUUGACUUCUAUUUGUUUUUCACUUCAUCAAGCUGAAGAUUGACCAGUAAUUCAAUUAGGCCAAGAAAAGCUACUUCAAUGGGAUCACUCAACAGUUCAUCACAAAAUACUUUUUACCUGUUUAGUGAAUUUGUAAAAUAGGACAUUUGUGUUGUAAUUCUAAUUUCAAGUUUGUUUUUAAUAAGCAUCUGAAUCUUUUGUAUAUAAAUUGUCCAGAUCACUCAUAAAAAUAUUCACAGCCUAGAUACUAUGUUGUAAUUACAACAGCCAGUUUUACCAAUGAAUAUUUACUUUUUAUUUUCUA